AUCCAGCUGAUGAAUCCCAAAUAGGACGAAACGCGAGUCAUACUGGAU
rnacentral:hammerhead_ribozyme from 1 species